CUUCUCUAGGCAAAGGUGAAAAAAAAACGAAAUUGCAUGCUGUCCUCUUGGAACUAAGGUCCUGGGGCUGGUUGUUCAUGAGGUUGGCUGGAGGAAGGACAAUCCAAUUGUUUUGCGCACUUCCUGCCCCAUCUAUCCUUCGUCCUGCAGCCACUGAGUUCAGGUGAAGGAAGCUGGAAAUCCCCAAUAUCCUUUAAACCGCUCUCUGGGUAGUUUAGUGGGAAAACAAGAAACAGUAUCAGUAAGCCUCAGAUAGACAGUCAGAAAUGUGUGGAAUUGCUUUCUGGAGGAAAGGGGUUUUUGUUACUCCUGUUUACUGUCAGCUGAAGUCAGUAUGGACAAACGUGCACCCAGCACUUAAAGUGGUCACAACGUGUGCACCAAUGCACACCUCCCGUCACUGAUGUUUUAUAAGAAAUGGCACCAAGCCCCAGGACACUAAGGUCAUGCUGUGCUGGGGACCCAACCCAGGGCCUUACUCUUGCUAGGUAAGUGCUCUACCACUGAGUUAAAUCCCCAACCCCCAUUUCAAUGUUUUUAAAAUCAGUGGAAUAAAGGAGGACAGAACAUGGUAUGGUGGUGCCUCCUUAUAAUUCAGUUACCGAGGAGACAGCGAUAGGAAGGUUUGAGGCCAGCAAGCAACUUACUGUCUCCCACUGAAUUAAACCAAGUCUACAGCAUAGCUCAGUUUUAUGCUGUUUCCUACCAGAGGAAAACCCUAGGUUCUAUCUCAGCUCCAAUUCACAGAAAUUCACACCUAAGGGGAAAUUAGGAUUUACUUCCAAAGUCCUUGUCAGAGGGUAAAACCAAUACCUGAUUCUGACAUGGCUCCUCCAAGAUCUUGCAGAUUCAAGAUGCAGAGAUUCUAACGAAUACCCAAGUUAAUUAGCCUCCUGGGAUACCAUCUCUCCCUUAGUGUCAAGAGUUCAAAACUGACAAAAUAUGAAUUGGUCGUUUUUAUUACCCCAAAUUUCCAAAUCCCAUCACAGGUGUCAGUCCACACGGACAACAACAAGCUGGCCUGAGUUGGCCUUCGUGAGAAAGGAAAAGGAAACAAUGUUACUUUAAGGUAUAAACCAUUUCUUCUUUCCCUGCUGUACCUAAUUGGAAAGCUCAUAUCCCCUCCUUGCAAACUGCUAUGCCAGCAAUGCAGUGUUAAGGAAUCAGACCCCUGUGUGUAUGCUGGUUCCAUUUUUCCAAAUGUUACAUGUGUGUAGACAAGUUGUGGAAAGUGCAGUUACCCCUCACUAUAAGCCACGGGAAGAUGCCCUCCCUUCCCUCUGCCUUGCACAUGCCUAUAAAAAGUGUCUCAUCGCACGAAUUUCUCCAGGGCUCUGAUCUGCUUGGAUUCGAGGAGACAGAAGUAAGUACCUGAGUGCCUGGGCUCUGCUCGUCUGGUGACAGUGGAUGUUCCAGAAUACAGGCUUAUGGUGGUGUCAUCGUCAUCGAGCAUGUCCCUUGUGCUGCUGUAUUUGGCCUGCAUCCUGAUUCCUGCAGAAAUGCCGGUGAGAUGUGCUCAGAUUCCUCGAGGUCGCCUGUCUACUCUCAGAUACCUCAGGAAACCAGGCACUGAGAGGCAUUCUUAAUGGUCUCUCCCUGCAGGCAGCAAGGGAAGCCUCUGACUCCAGUUCCUGCGUGGAGAGGCCCAGCCCCUCCCCUCUGAGCCUGUAUUCAGAAUGCCAAGUUAGUCUGGCUGAGGGAAAAUUGCAUGUGUUUUCUGGCUAAGCGAUCCGUGAACCGUUAUUAAAAUAUCUGGCUUUUUCAGACCUUGUGUGUAUUUGUUUACAAGUCUUUCAGAAUUGCAAGGUGGGGAUGGUGACCCCUCCUAGUAGCACUGAAGGUCCUCUGAGUCUAAAGCAUAAUCAGAACUGGACUGGGUUUUUGUGUGUGUAUGUGUGUGUGUGUGUGUGUUUUUUUUUACCCAGUAUGCAUCACAAUCUGAUCACUCACCUGUACCUUUGGGGAAGGAGGGGAGACUCUUCCUGUCUCCAAAGGCAGAGUGGAAAGCAUCAUUCACUUGGCGGGAGACCCCCUGAGAGCAGACAAUCAAUUUGAUUCUUUGAUUUAACUCAAAAAGAAAGUGAAAGCUAUCUAAGUGAAGUGAUUUCUUUAGCAGUCACAUAGCUGGCUGGGGUUCGAUUAACUCUGAGAGUCCACCCCUGUUGUCAACUUCAUAUCCUUUCUUCUCACAGUAUCCGGACUUGGUUUAACAUUUUAUAAUACACCAAGCACAUUGUGAUCAGGAGCAAUCCCAUGCUCUAGUAGCAUUCCUGAUUUACAGCACUGUUGCUAACCUCUGUUCCUACAGUUGAUAAGAAAUGAGAAAAUUGUCUCAGUCAAUAUCCAGCGUUACUGUUGAACCAGUACAGUAUAAUUCUAUUGUCAUGUUUGUGUGUGUGUGUUGCAACAACUAAAUACCUAAGACCAGAUCAUUCAUACAUAAUGAAAAAAUAUUUCUCAUAAUUCUGACUCAAGAUCAACGUGCUGACAAACAUUGGUGAGGAGAGGGAUGUAUCCUCUAAGGGAGAUACUAUACCAUCAUAUAGUGAAAGGUGUGUGGUCACCUAUCUAUCUAUCUAUCUAUCUAUCUAUCUAUCUAUCUAUCUACCUAUCUAUCCAUCCAUCUAUCUAUCAUCUACUUAGCUAUUUGUCAUCUAUCUCUCUGUGUGUAUACAUAUCUAGUUUGCCAACACACACACACACACACAUAUAUAUACACACACACACACACACACACACACACACACACACACAAGUUAUUGUAUGCUCAUCACUCUACCAAAGUUGUUCUACACAGAUAAUGCCUGGCUAAAGCAAGCACACUAAAUACCAACUAGUGAAGAAACAGUUAGAGCAGUCAGAGCCUGUAAAAAGACCACCAGAAACCACAGAUUUUGAAUUCAUGUGUGUGUCAAGCUAAAAGUUGUUCAUCCAAUUAUUAUAAUUUUAAAAUGUAAGCAUAAGAUUCCAAUGUGGACAGCAAAAGGAAAUAGUACAAUUUAGUUCAACAAAGAAGGUGGUGGCAAGUGAUAGUGGACCUCUGUUCUCCAGAUGUGGCCAGAUAAGUAAGCACACUCGUACACACAUACUCACAUGAGCUCACUCGUGCACAUACACAACAUGCAUGUCAUUCAAAAUCCCAUCCCAUGCUUUAACUGCUUGAGCUAAUUAAUCAUACUUCUCUCAUAUUGAUUACUGUCUCCUCUGUAGUUCUUUCAGAUGUUGACAAUUCAAAUUUGAAUGUUAAAAGAUGAGAGCAAACCUCACAAAAAUGUUUAUUUUUUUCUUGGAGACAUUAUAAAAUCUUUAAGAACGCAAGUUUAUGCUUCAGUGAAAAACUAUCUAGUAUACACAUUUCCUAGUAUCAAAUUCAUCAACUUUUUAGGGAGAAGGCAAGAAUUAUGUUAGUGAUUGCUACAUAUAGGCAAGUUAUCCAGAGGCCAAAGAUCCUUUAAUAAGCAGUUUUUUUUUUCAGUUAAGAUGAAAGUGACAUAAAACCAAUCACUUUCAAGUGAAUAAUUCAGUGGACCCAGAACAAUUUCUACCCACACAUUGAUCAGUCUGAGGAAGCUACAAAUAGAUCCCCAGCAAUAU